rnacentral:tRNA from 1 species
GCCUGGGUGGCUCAGUCGGUUGAGCGUCCGACUUCGGCUCGGGUCACGAUCUCGCGUCCGUGAGUUCGAGCCCCGCGUCGGGCU